rnacentral:rRNA from 1 species
CCUACGUGAGGCAGCAGUAGGGAAUUUUGCGCAAUGGGCGAAUGCCUGACGCAGCAACGCCGCGUGAUUGAUUAAGCCCUUCGGGGUGUAAAGAUCUGUCAGUGGGGACGAAACUUGCCGGUACCCACAGAGGAAGCACCGGCUACCUCCGUGCCAGCAGCCGCGGUAAUACGGAGGGUGCAAGCGUUGUCCGGAAUUAUUGGGCGUAAAGAGUUCGGAGGUGGCAUAGCAAGCCAGGAGUGAAAUGCCGAGGCCCAACCUCGGGUCGGCACUUGGUACUGGUAGGCUGGAGUACGGGAGGGGCAGGCGGAAUUCCUAGUGUAGCGGUGAAAUGCGUAGAUAUCAGGAGGAACACCGGUGGCGAAGGCGGCCUGCUGGACUGUGACUGACGUUGAGGCCCGAAGGCGUGGGGAGCAAACAGGAUUAGAUACCCUUGUAGUC